rnacentral:rRNA from 1 species
AGUUUGAUCAUGGCUCAGGAUGAACGCUAGCGGUCGGCCUAACACAUGCAAGUCGAGCGGCAGCAUUGUGUAGCAAUACACAGAUGGCGAGCGGCGAACGGGUGCGUAACGCGUAGGUAACUUGCCCUUAACCGGGGAAUAGCCCGACGAAAGUUGGAUUAAUACCCCAGACAUCUAGAUAAGGCAUCUUAAUUAGAUUAAAGUUUCGGCGGUUAAGGAUAGGCCUGCGUCCCAUUAGCUAGUUGGUGAGGUAAUGGCUCACCAAGGCAACGAUGGGUAGGGGGUUUGAAAGGAUGAUCCUCCACACUGGCACUGAGACACGGGCCAGACUCCUACGGGAGGCAGCAGUGAGGAAUAUUGCGCAAUGGGCGAAAGCCUGACGCAGCCAGACCGCGUGUAGGAAGACAGUCGUAAGAUUGUAAACUACUUUUAUCUGAGAGGAAACCUACGGACGUGUCCGUAGCUGACAGUACCAGAUGAAUAAGCACCGGCUAACACCGUGCCAGCAGCCGCGGUAAUACGGAGGGUGCAGGCGUUAUCCGGAUUUACUAGGUUUAAAGGGUCUGUAGGCGGUAUAAUAAGUCAGUGGUGAAAGCCCUGAGCUCAACUGAGGAAUUGCCAUUGAUACUGUUAUACUUGAGUUUGGUUGAUGUUGGCGGAAUGUAUCAUGUAGCGGUGAAAUGCAUAGAUAUGAUACAGAACACCGAUUGCGAAGGCAGCUGACAAAACCAAAACUGACGCUGAUAGACGAAAGCGUGGGGAGCGAACAGGAUUAGAUACCCUGGUAGUCCACGCCGUAAACGAUGAUCACUCGUUCUUAGCGAUACACCGUUAGGGACUGAGCGAAAGCAUUAAGUGAUCCACCUGGGGAGUACGUUCGCAAGAAUGAAACUCAAAGGAAUUGACGGGGGCCCGCACAAGCGGAGGAACAUGUGGUUUAAUUCGAUGAUACGCGAGGAACCUUACCUGGGCUUGAAUGCUAAGCGUCUUCGGACGUAGACCAUCGAAAGAUGGCUUAAAUUUGCAAGGUGCUGCAUGGUUGUCGUCAGCUCGUGCCGUGAGGUGUCGGGUUAAGUCCCAUAACGAGCGCAACCCUCAUCCUUAGUUGCCAACAGUUCGGCUGGGAACUCUAAGGAAACUGCCAUCGUAAGAUGUGAGGAAGGUGGGGAUGACGUCAAAUCAUCAUGGCCCUUAUGACCAGGGCUACACACGUGCUACAAUGGGCAGUACAGAGGGAAGCAAAAUCGCGAGAUCAAGCAAAUCCCAGAAAGCUGUCCGUAGUCCGGAUCGGAGUCUGCAACUCGACUCCGUGAAGUCGGAAUCGCUAGUAAUCGCGAAUCAGCAUGUCGCGGUGAAUACGUUCCCGGGCCUUGUACACAUCGCCCGUCACACCAUGGGAGUUUGUUGCACCAGAAGCAGGUAGUCUAACCGAAAGGAGGGCGCUUGCCACGGUGUGGCCGAUGACUGGGGUGAAGUCGUAACAAGGUAGCCAAGGGCGAA